GACGAACGCUGGCGGCGUGCUUAAUACAUGCAAGUCGAACGAACAGACGAUGAUCUUGCUGCUCUGACGUGAGGGGAGGGCGGGUGAGAAACACGUGGAUAACCUACCUAUCAGACUGGGAUAACUUCGGGAAACCGGAGCUAAUACCGGAUAAUAUAUUGAACCGCAUGGUUCGAUGGUGAAAUACGGUUUUUCGGUCACGUAUAGCUGGAUCCGGGCCGCAUUAGGUAGUUGGUGAGGUAACGGCUUACCACGGCGACGAGGCGUAGCCGAGCUGAGAGGGGGGUAGGCCACACUGGAACUUGGACACGCUCCUGACUCCUGCGGGAGGCAGCAGUAUGCAACGGGAGGCAGCAGGGGGGAACCUUGCAGAGCAGGGCGGAGCGAGAUGUGGAGGCCCCCCGUGCGUAAUGCCGUGUUACGAGGUAAGAACAGAUGUGGAAGUAACUAUGCCGUGAGUGACGGUAACUAGUCAGAAAGCCCCGGCUAACUACGUG
rnacentral:rRNA from 1 species